rnacentral:rRNA from 1 species
UGGCAAGCGUUGUCCGGAAUUAUUGGGCGUAUAGGGCGCGCAGGCGGCGUCGUAAGUCGGUCUUAAAAGUGCGGGGCUUAACCCCGUGAGGGGACCGAAACUGCGAUGCUAGAGUAUCGGAGAGGAAAGCGGAAUUCCUAGUGUAGCGGUGAAAUGCGUAGAUAUUAGGAGGAACACCAGUGGCGAAAGCGGCUUUCUGGACGACAACUGACGCUGAGGCGCGAAAGCUAGGGGAGC